rnacentral:rRNA from 1 species
AUUGAACGCUGGCGGCAGGCCUAACACAUGCAAGUCGAGCGAGCGGCGGACGGGGGAGUAAUGUCUGGGAAACUGCGUGAUGGAAGGGGAUAACGACUGGAAACGGUAGCUAAUACCGCAUACAAUCAGAUAUGCCCAGAGGGGAUUGGCUAGUAGGUGGGGUAACGGGUCACCUAGGCGACGAGCCCUAGCUGGUCUGAGAGGAGGACCCGCCACACUGGAACUGAGACACGGUCCAGACUCCUACGGGAGUGAGCAGUGGGUAAUAUUGGACAAUGGGCGCAAGCCUGAUGCAGCCAUGCCGCGUGUGUGAAGAAGGCUGUCGGGUUGUAAAGCACUUUUAGCGGGGAGGCGUUACCCGCCGAAGAAGCACCGGCUAACUCCGUGCCAGCAGCCGCGGUAAUUC